GAAGUGUUUCCUUCCCGAGGGU
rnacentral:miRNA from 8 species